rnacentral:rRNA from 1 species
UUAAUGAGAGUUUGAUCCUGGCUCAGGACGAACGCUGGCGGCGUGCCUAAUACAUGCAAGUAGAACGCUGAAGAGAGGAGCUUGCUCUUCUUGGAUGAGUUGCGAACGGGUGAGUAACGCGUAGGUAACCUGCCUGGUAGCGGGGGAUAACUAUUGGAAACGAUAGCUAAUACCGCAUAAAAUUGAUUAUUGCAUGAUAAUUAAUUGAAAGAUGCAAUUGCAUCACUACCAGAUGGACCUGCGUUGUAUUAGCUAGUUGGUGAGGUAACGGCUCACCAAGGCGACGAUACAUAGCCGACCUGAGAGGGUGAUCGGCCACACUGGGACUGAGACACGGCCCAGACUCCUACGGGAGGCAGCAGUAGGGAAUCUUCGGCAAUGGGGGGAACCCUGACCGAGCAACGCCGCGUGAGUGAAGAAGGUUUUCGGAUCGUAAAGCUCUGUUGUAAGAGAAGAACGGGUGUGAGAGUGGAAAGUUCACACUGUGACGGUAUCUUACCAGAAAGGGACGGCUAACUACGUGCCAGCAGCCGCGGUAAUACGUAGGUCCCGAGCGUUGUCCGGAUUUAUUGGGCGUAAAGCGAGCGCAGGCGGUUAGAUAAGUCUGAAGUUAAAGGCUGUGGCUUAACCAUAGUAUGCUUUGGAAACUGUUUAACUUGAGUGCAGAAGGGGAGAGUGGAAUUCCAUGUGUAGCGGUGAAAUGCGUAGAUAUAUGGAGGAACACCGGUGGCGAAAGCGGCUCUCUGGUCUGUAACUGACGCUGAGGCUCGAAAGCGUGGGGAGCAAACAGGAUUAGAUACCCUGGUAGUCCACGCCGUAAACGAUGAGUGCUAGGUGUUAGGCCCUUUCCGGGGCUUAGUGCCGCAGCUAACGCAUUAAGCACUCCGCCUGGGGAGUACGACCGCAAGGUUGAAACUCAAAGGAAUUGACGGGGGCCCGCACAAGCGGUGGAGCAUGUGGUUUAAUUCGAAGCAACGCGAAGAACCUUACCAGGUCUUGACAUCCCUCUGACCNNNNNNNNNNNNNNNNNNNNNNNNNNNNNNNNNNNNNNNNNNNNNNNNNNNNNNNNNNNNNNNNNAGUUGGGCACUCUAGCGAGACUGCCGGUAAUAAACCGGAGGAAGGUGGGGAUGACGUCAAAUCAUCAUGCCCCUUAUGACCUGGGCUACACACGUGCUACAAUGGCUGGUACAACGAGUCGCAAGCCGGUGACGGCAAGCUAAUCUCUGAAAGCCAGUCUCAGUUCGGAUUGUAGGCUGCAACUCGCCUACAUGAAGUCGGAAUCGCUAGUAAUCGCGGAUCAGCACGCCGCGGUGAAUACGUUCCCGGGCCUUGUACACACCGCCCGUCACACCACGAGAGUUUGUAACACCCGAAGUCGGUGAGGUAACCGUAAGGAGCCAGCCGCCUAAGGUGGGAUAGAUGAUUGGGGUGAAGUCGUAACAAGGUAGCCGUAUCGGAAGGUGCGGCUGGAUCACCUCCUUUCUAAGGA